rnacentral:lncRNA from 1 species
AUAUUAAUGAAAAAUUAAAAUAUGAAUCAAGCAAAGUAUAAGCACAAGCAUUGAUUGCACUCAAUAUUAAGUCUUUGUAAUUAAUUCAUAUAUAGAAAUACAACAUUACAAAAGAAAUUUAAGAUAUAUUGGCUAAGAUCCAUAAGCCCUUGGAAGUUAUUUGUGAGAUAUUUUUAAUGAAGAAAUUAUAUAAUCUUUAAUAUAUGGACAAAAAAUCUAUAGACAUUUUUUUUGGAGAGAUUUUUGAUUUUAGAGAUUAAUAUAUUGAAGUUGGUGGUGAAAUGUA